rnacentral:tRNA from 1 species
GUUGAUAUGACAGAAGAAAUGUAUUUGAUUUAGAAUCAUUUUAUGGUUGAGAAACUUAUCAAUU